GGAGAGAUGGCUGAGUGGUCGAAAGCGCUCCCCUGCUAAGGGAGUAAGGGCUUAUACCCCUUCGAGGGUUCGAAUCCCUCUCUCUCCGCCA
rnacentral:tRNA from 1 species